rnacentral:rRNA from 1 species
AUUGAACGCUAGCGGCAUGCUUAACACAUGCAAGUCGAACGGAGUGGCGGACGGGUGAGUAAUAACUCGGAACCUGCCCAGUAGCGGGGGAUAACUACUCGAAACAGUAGCUCAUACCGCAUACCAUCGGAGCAGCCCAGAUGGGAUUAGCUAGUUGGUGGGGUAACGGCUCACCAAGGCCACGAUCCCUAGCUGGUUUGAGAGGAUGACCAGCCACACUGUGACUGAGACACGGCCCAGACUCCUACGGGAGGCAGCAGUGGGGAAUUUUGCGUAAUGGGGGAAACCAUGAUCCAGCCAUCCCGCGUGUAUGAUGAAGGCCUUCGGGUUGUAAAGUACUUUAGGCAGAGAGGCGGUAUCUGCAGAAUAAGCACCGGCUAACUCCGUGCCAGCAGCCGCGGUAAUAC